GGUGAACGCUGGCGGCGUGCCUAAUACAUGCAAGUCGAGCGAACGGACGAGAAGCUUGCUUCUCUGAUGUUAGCGGCGGACGGGGGAGUAACACGUGGAUAACCUACCCAUAAGACUGGGAUAACUUCGGGAAACCGGAGCUAAUACCGGAUAAUAUUUUGAACCGGAUGGUUCAAAAGUGAAAGACGGUCUUGCUGUCACUUAUAGAUGGAUCCGCGCUGCAUUAGCUAGUUGGUAAGGUAACGGCUUACCAAGGCAACGAUGCAUAGCCUACCUGAGAGGGUGAUCGGCCACACUGGAACUGAGACACGGUCCAGACUCCUACGGGAGGCAGCAGUGGGGAAUAUUCGACAAUGGGCGCAAGCCUGACGGAGCCACGCCGCGUGAGUGAUGAAGGUCUUCGGAUCGUAAAACUCUGUUAUUAGGGAAGAAAAUAUGUAUAAGUAACUGUGCACAUCUUGACGGUACCUAAUCAGAAAGCAACGGCUAACUACGUG
rnacentral:rRNA from 1 species